rnacentral:rRNA from 1 species
AGAACGAACGCUGGCGGCAUGCCUUACACAUGCAAGUCGAACGGCAGCACGGGGGCAACCCUGGUGGCGAGUGGCGAACGGGUGAGUAAUGCAUCGGAACGUGCCCAGUAGUGGGAGAUAACUAGUCGAAAGAUUAGCUAAUACCGCAUACGACCUAUGGGUGAAAGCGGGGGAUUCGCAAGAACCUCGCGCUAUCGGAGCGGCCGAUGUCUGAUUAGCUAGUUGGCGGGGUAAGAGCCCACCAAGGCUUCGAUCAGUAGCUGGUCUGAGAGGACGACCAGGCCACACUGGGACUGAGACACGGCCAGACUCCGUACGGGAGGCAGCAGUCGGGGAAUUUGGAACAAGUCGGGGACGACGAAGG